AGAAUUUAACAACAGGGGUUUCUUGAGGUAAUUUUUUACAAUAUAAAAAUUAAAUAAGUACUUAAAUCAAAAUAUAGGAAUUAUAGGUGUCGUCAUACAUUGCAACAAGUAUUACUGAGAACACUCAUCAGUUUUCGCUCCUAGUACCACUUUUCAUUAUUGCUAAUGACAUUUUCAGUACUAGACGCUAGUAACAAAUUUGGCAUAAACACAUUUUAAGACAUAGAUAUGUAAGUCCAUGGACUAUGUAUACUAAGCUGAUGGGCAAUGGCAUGACUUGAGAAUACGCAACACAAAAUUAAAACACGAUGAAUUAAUGGGCCCAACAUUUUUGUUUAGGCAAGGACAACAGAAGUUUGAUUGAUCCAAAGAUAAUUAUCCACAUUCAAUUAAUAUAAAGACAAAAAUAUCUCAAAGUGGAAACUGAAUGUCUAAUUAAAGAAAGAAAAACCCCGUAUAUAUAAUAAAAUUGUGUGAAAUUUUAGGCAUUGAUUGGCGCAUUUAGCAAGCGCAAUGCGAUCUACUUGUAGAAUUUCCUCCACGACGUCUUAAUGCACAGUUCCUCUACAUAUCCAAUCAUUUGUAUCAUCACUCAUUGAGUUCUUCAAUAAUUAUUGUUGUUGACUUCGAUUAAAUAAAUUACACUAAGUUAUAUUUAAUAUUGUCUUAUAUUUUCUGUAAUACUGGAUUAGACUCAGACUAAUUGAUUCAACUUAGAAGAAAACUAAAU
rnacentral:lncRNA from 1 species